rnacentral:lncRNA from 1 species
CACCGGUAGCCUCGCCUUCACCGGUAGCCUCGCCUUCACCGGUAGCCUCGCCCUCACCCUCACCCUCACCAAACUUAUAUUCUUCAUCAUCCUCUUGAGGUGGAGGAGGAUGAGGAUCGAAAACUUCGAGGGGAAUUUGAGAGUGUCCCUGUGGUCUUCUUAUAGUUUUUCCUCUGCGGAAAUACGGAGAAGAAAGGCGAUGCACAGGAAUUCGAUUCCUCUGCACCCUUU